UUGCAGCCCAAAUCGGGUGGUAAAUUUCGUCCAAGGCUAAAUACAUGUGAGAGACCGAUAGCAAACAAGUACCGCGAGGGAAAGAUGAAAAGGACUUUGAAAAGAGAGUCAAAGAGUGCUUGAAAUUGUCGGGAGGGAAGUGAAUGGGGGCCGGUAAUGUGCCUCGGUCGCAGGUGGAACGGCGGUAACUUGCUGGUCUGUUGAACGGCUCGAGGUGCGGGUCGAAGCUGAUUGAGGUGGCAGUUGAAGUUGAUGCUUUCGAUAUAGCCAUUCGGAUAUGUUGUCCCCUUGAUCAUUGUGGGCAGUGCGUGCUUCAAGCGAUGUGGUUAAGCACCUUCGCGCUUAAGGCAAUGACUCGUGGGCCCCCCAUUCGACC
rnacentral:rRNA from 1 species